rnacentral:rRNA from 1 species
GACGAACGCUGGCGGCGUGCUUAACACAUGCAAGUCGAACGGUAAGGCCCUUCGGGGUACACGAGUGGCGAACGGGUGAGUAACACGUGGGUGAUCUGCCCUGCACUUCGGGAUAAGCCUGGGAAACUGGGUCUAAUACCGGAUAGGACUCCUGGCUUCAUGGUUGGGGGUGGAAAGCUUUUGCGGUGUGGGAUGGGCCCGGGGCCUAUCAGCUUUGUGGUGGGGGAAUGGCCUACCAAGGCGACGGCGGGUAGCCGGCCUGGGAGGGGGGCCGGUCAAACUGGGACUGAGAUACGGCCCAGACUCCUAAGGGAGGCAGCCGUGGGGGAUAUUGCACAAUGGGCGCAAGCCUGAUGCAGCGACGCCGCGUGAGGGAUGACGGCCUUCGGGUUGUAAACCUCUUUCAGCUAUGACGAAGCGCAAGUGACGGUAGUAGCAGAAGAAGGACCGGCCAACUACGUGCCAGCAGCCGCAGUAA